rnacentral:lncRNA from 1 species
GGGCCUACACCCUCACCUGGGCAGCAGCAUGGCUCACACAUGGGCAUUUGGGGCACAAAGUUUUAAUGUCUCUGAACUGUUUUCUGAGCAAUGCUGAAUUUUCUUCUGUCAGUUUCUAGGCCAAGGAAUUAGCAGCCACACCUCAUUUCUGGAUCAAAUUUGGCAGAGAAUCUAGCAAACCUGCCUGACAUAAUGCCCACUACCCUUUUCAUCCAUCUCUGGGGGCUUGAAAUUUCCUUUUGAUUACCUCUGGCAGUCUUUCCAAUGUGCCAGAGGCAUGGGGACUCAGAUUGGGAAGGGCUUGUGGGUGCCAGCCUGUGACCAAGCACAGGGCCUCUUUCAUGCCUGCUAUCCAACCUCCACUUGAACACUUGUAGUGACAUGGCCUCACUACUGCCAGCUCAGACUUCCCACAUUUCAGACACUCCAGAGAUUGUCAGUUCUGCCACAUUCUUCUCAUUGAACUCCUUCUCCACCUUUAAAACGUACCUCUCCCACUCUGUGAUGGCUUUCCUGCCCAGGAGCCAGCAGAAGACUGCUCACUCUUUCUGCUCUCUAAACGUGCAGUGCACUAACUGGUGCCUAUCUGACCAUAAUUGUAUAUUUGCACAUUCGUUUUAUGGACAGCACAUCAAUGCCAAAAACAAAAUUUGCCAAAUCAGUCAGCAGCAGUAGGAGCUCAGCACCCAUGGCUGAUAAGGGAACUGGAAGGACUUGUGCUUUGAAGUCAGUCCUAACUACAGGUUUGGGGGGCGGGGGGCAGGGGAGGAAGGCUGGUCUGGCAUUAUAGUGGGAAAGUAAAGUGCAAAGCCCAAGUGAGUGAUGGGGAAAUGCCAGGACCUGACCCAGCAAGCUGAGAAGUGAAACUGCUCUCCACCAAGCCCGAGUACGCCCCCUUGUGGUGAGGGAGAGCUGUGCAGGGUUUCCCAUGGGAGCGCAGGGUGGAGAAAAACCAGGCAGGUGAGGGGGAACCAGCGCCUCUGCAUCUUGGAAGAGUUGAAGGCACCCUCAGGGAAUCUGGCUCAGGGGUAGAGGGGAAGAUGCUGGUCUAGAAAAGCCAGCCCCUACUGGCCCUCUGUUGUCCAGGCUGUGCAGGGGAAAGGAGGAGAGGGAAUUAAAACUACAGGACCUAGAGCUCUAAGCUCUAUUUACAUUAUCUUGUUUAAUCUUGCCAUGCAGAUGAGAAACUGAGACUCAGAGAGGGUGACGUAACUAGAACAUAGCCCAGGCAGGAUGGGGACCCUGCUCCAGGCCACCCCCAUGUCCUCCUUUAGGCCGAUUUUCUGAUUAUUAAAGCAUUGGGAUCCUACUGGGAGACAGUGGGAUUUUCUUCAGAUGAGAUGCUCUCGGACCUUUAGCCUCCUAUGGCAUUCCUGGCAGGAGUAGCGCAGGGAAAACUAGGAUUUGGAGUCGGAUGGGUUUUUUUCUCCUUCAGAUUUAUAUUACUGUACAUGGAGUGGGGUGGGAGUGAAGAAGAUUCUCCCUUUAGAAGAAUCAGUCUGUUCACCUUCAAAACCUAUCCAGACAGACUGGAUCUUCCAGCCUUCUCCAAGGGGCUGUGAGGGGGACAUCUUGAGCUGAACUGUGUCACCGACUGAAGCUCCCUGCUGUCUGGCCCUGACAGAGUUUCUGUGCUGCUCUCCAGCUGGAGUGCUGGCCCUCUCUUAAACCAUGUGCAUUCUUCGGCCAGAGGUCCCUGCAGCCAUAAGUAGUUCCUGAGCACAUACUCUAUUCCAGGCACAAGGAGGAGGCAGAACAGACCACCUGCCUGUAAAGCUACACUGUAAUGUGCAUUUGAGGCUUCUGCAGGUCGGUCUAUUAUAGGGGAAAAAUUAGGGCUAUUGGCUAAAAAGAAAAAAGUCUGUACUCUUGCUUCAUUAGGUAGCACCGUAGGUUUUAUUUUUUCUUGGUGGAGGUUGGGGAUAAUGUCAUUUAUUUAUUUAUUUUGAGAGAGAAGACAGAUGUGGUCAGACCUAUUCUCAAAGGGAUAAAGUAAUGACUUAUCAGCCUUUCCUUGGAGCCACAGUACAGGAAACAGGAAGACACUGCCCACUAAAGUGAGGGCUGUUUCUCUGGAACCUGAGCUCAGGACCAGUUCUCUUUGCCCUGCUGGGUGCUUCCAAGGGAAGACAAUAGUGGCAGAUAAUGUGGCUUCUUUCUCUGAUUCCAGGAGCCAAAGGAAAUGUCAGUUGCCUCUGGGACGGAACGUGACCUCCUUUAAGUCUGGGAGCAUGAAACCAGUGCAGUCAAACACCCCAACCCCCUUCUGUUCCCUGGGAAAGAGACAACUCUGAGAAUAGCCUGGUGAAAGUAGAAAGAGCCCAGUCUUUGAAACAGUGCAGAUGUGGGUUCAAAUCCUGGUUUGGCCAUUUAUUAGCCCUGUGAUCUUGGACAACUUACUCAAAUAUUCCAAGCCUGAGUGUCCUCAUCUGUAAUGAUAAUUUUUAUACCUACCUCACUUAGCAGUGAGUAAGAUGUAUUACAAAGCCAUAGCCCAAGAAGCAGUAAAGAACAAAGCAGACAAAUGGAAGAAAAUAGAAAAUCCUGAAGCAGAUCUAGGAAUCUAUGAUAGUUUGAUAUGAGAGGGAGGUGACAUCAAGAAUUGGUAAACAAAGGACUGAAUAUUCAGUAAAUGCUGCUGGAGAGACUGGCUUCUAACUGGACCAAAAUAAAGUCACUUUAUAGGUAUGUGUGUCUUCAUGUCUUCAGUUAUCUUUGGUUGACUAAGACCUAAAUGGGAAAAGGAAAACUAUAAAAAGAGAAGAGACUUGUGGUGGCCGGGGGUGGGAUGGACUGGGAGUUUGGGGUUGAUAGAUGCAGACUAUUAUUGUAUUUGGAGUGGACAGGCAAUGAGAUCCUGCUGUGUAGCACAGGGAACUAUAUCUAGUCACUUGUGAUGGAACAUGAUGGAGGAUAAUGUAAGAAAUAGAAGGUAGAUGUAUGUAUGACUGGGUCACUUUGCUGUACAGUAGAAACUGACAACACUGUAAAUCAACUAUAAUGGAAAAUAUUAAAAUCUUAUUUAAAAAAAACAACUAAUAAAAGGGUAUUGGGCCUCAUCAUGGUCAACAUCCAGCCCCAAUAAGGAAAAGACAGAAAAGUUUGCCCCAGGAGCCAGGACAUCUACAAAGGCUGUUGGUGGACCUGGACAGUUUCUGGCCAGAGGAACCAUCUCCACCUUCAACCAGUUUGUGCUAAAGAGGUUUUUCACGAGUCGCACUGACUCCCCACCUCUGUCCAUGUCCUGGAUGAUCCAGAGGAUGAAGCUCGCCAGCCGGCAAGACAGAACGGACAACGCGCCUGUCCGGGAGGCGCCUACACGAAGGGCUGGCGCUGCGCGGGAGCAGCCACACGGGGGCAGCCUCGCCGGAGCCGCAGCCUCGCGAGGACAGAAAGGGGCCACAUCUUUCUCGUCGGCCAGCUGGCGCCCCACUGCCGCGGGGUGUGGCCCUCGCAAGGUUCAGAGCUGGCACAGCCACACCAAACCCUCCCAACGCUCCAAGGGCCAGAAGUUCAAGAACGCCCAGAGACCACGGACACUAACGCCAGAUUUUGCCUUGUUACUGAAACAGUUUUGGAUGCUAUGGGGGGAAAACUCAUAAAAGAACAUCAUUUUAACCUCAGGGAAGGUAAGGAUUUCCUAAAGGCGAUCCCAGAUGGCUAGAUGUGGGCUCUGGGGGCAAGUGCUGCUGUGCAGAAAGGGGCUUCUGAACUCUUGGGGGGCGGGGCGGGCUGGACCCUGCUUUCUCCUCAGAGGGUUCAGUGAAGUCUGGGGAAUCGACACUUUCAAGGGCAUCUACACAGGUGUCCCUAUCCCAUUGGUCAGGACCUUGACCUGAUGGAUUUGCCCCAGUGAGGUAGUUAAUGGUCUUUGAAGUUCAGCCACUCUGGACUGUUCUGUCUUGGGAUUGUCUUGGGUUCAUUCCCCCUUCCCUGAAUAGAAGAUGAAAGUUGCCUUGUGUGCAGUUUAAGAGGCUCCUGUGGCUUCCAUUCCUGGCUUUCCACUGGCUGCUGCUACACUUAGCUGUUCAUUAUCUUUCAAGGCAGGUAUCCAGAGUACUUACAAAGCACAUGGCCUUUUAAUACUGUUGUCUUUUAGCGUUGCUAUUACUCCCACCCCUCCCAGAAUCUUAAAUGCCUGGUACAUUCAUGGCCCAUGGGCACCCUCCACCCACAGGUGCACCACGGCUACAAGCUUCAGCAGUUGGUAGCCACCUGGCGCUCAGGCCUGCCUGUGCUUCACCUGCCACCAGAGAUGGGUCCUUCUGGCCGGCUGAGAGGGGAAUAAUGCAGUCCCAAGCUCCAAAUAACCACCUGCUUUCUCGGACCAGUCCCAGCUGCCACAGGUAAGGUCCUCAGAAAGUAAACACUGAAAUGGAGUUCCAGGGAUAAGCAGUUUGCUCGGGACCACUACCUAAUCAGGCAGAGGAAGAAGGCCACUGACAAGGCCUUGGCCAGUCUAUAGGGAGACCAGGAGCCAGCCUUGCUGAGCAGAGCUGUCCCACAUCUGGCUGAAGUGUCUGGCUGGUGUACUGCCCCCGCCUCUUCUCCAUCACUCGGUCAUCAGGGGUGGCUGCCCCAGGAAGGGCUGCUCUCUGCAGCUUGGCAGCAAGUCCUUACACAAAGUGGUCCCUUUGUCCACCACAGAUCAGAAAUGUAGUUUGUGUGUGAAGGCAGACUGUGUGCGUGAAUGAUAGCCAGCGCAUGCUGAGUACUGUGCCAGAUGAGGCUAAGUGCCAUUUAUACUCUGAGUCAGGGACCAUUAUUGGCCUCAUAUUUGUGUGCCCAGAUGAAGAAACUGAGGCAUGAAAAGUGAAAAUGACUUAGUCAAGGUUGCAUAGCAUGGAAUGGAGUUGAAGAUUCCCUCUGGAGAUUUUUUUUUAAUAAAAUUUGCUUGGAAUAAUUUUAAACCUUCAGAAAUGAAGAGAGCUCCUGUAUACCCUUCUCCCAGUGUUUCCUUGAUAUUACAAUCUUACAUAGAUUGUAAUAUCUAUGAUUUGUCACAACCGAGACUGUAGCACAUGACUUGACGAAAUCACUGACUUUGUAUGGAUUGCCACUAAUAUCCUUUUACUGUUAUAAGAGCAAGUCUGAGAUUUGUCUUGCCUUUAGCAUCCCUGAGAUUUGGACCCUGAGGUGUGAACUUUUGACCUGUCUGCCCUACUGCUCUUCCCACGAAGGUUUCGUGGCUAUAAACCGUUCAGGUGCUGCUCGCUACCCCAGGUGUCUGUGGGCGGCCCCAGAAUGUGGCAUGCUGACUAGCUCACUGUUUUCUCUGUGUCUCCUCUCUGCUGGCGUGUGGAAAAGAAUGCAACCCGGUGACGGGCUUGUGAUUUGGCCCCUCUGACAUUUGCUGGUGCUCUCUGGUGUGUACGGGGGUGGGUGCUGUCCCAGAGCACCCAGAGCCGUGUGAGGCUUGGCCCUGCUCUCCAGGAGCUCCCCAUCCCCCCACUCUGACCCACCCACCACCCUGGCUCACUGGCCCUGAGAUCUGGCAUGAAGGGAGGGGAUCUCACUGAAAACCGUGGCCCUCUGAGCCCACUCCUUUACACUGUGAAUGAAAGAGACUGAACUUUACUGGCUGGGAAGUCAGGGAAAAUACAAAUUAUUGCACUGCCUACCCUACCCCUAGCUUUGCCACUUAGUACUUGUGAGGCCUUUGCCUUAGUCCUGGUUUUUUCAUGGAAAUCAGUAGUGCUGCGUUUGGUUUAGUGGUUAAAGAGGGUAGGCCGAAAGCCAGAUGAUUUGGGUCUCUGUUGUUUAUUAGCUGCGUGACCAUUGUCAUGUUACUUAACCUCUCUGUGCCUUACUUUCCUCAUCUGUGACGUGGGAAGAAUAGCAUCCACUCUACAGGGCUCUUAUGAAGAUGGAGAGAAUUAAUAAAUGUACAACAUCUAGAACUAUGCCCAGCAUGGAUAACUCUCAACAAAUAUUAGUUAUUAUCAUCCAAUUCACAGAGAGAAUCAGAUGAGAUCAUUAUGGUAAAAGUGCAUUGUAAAUGGCAAAGCAUGCUAAAAAAGGACUGGUGCUAUUAUUUUUUACUUCCAAUUUUAUUGAUGUAAUUGACAUUUAGCACUUGUAAGUUUGGUACAGCAUGAUAAUGAUUUGACUACAUGCAUCAUGAAGUGAUUAUCACAAUAAGUUUAGUGAAUUUCCGUCAUCUUUUAUAGACACAAAAUAGAAUUUUUUUCUUUGAGAUGAGAACUCUCAAGAUUUGUUCUCUUAACUUUCAUUAUAAUGUACAGUACUGUUCAUUAUUCUUACCAUGUUAUACAUUAUUUAUCUUAUAACUGGAAGUUAUACAUUUUGACUGCCCUCCCUCCCUGCCAUCCAAGCCCUCUCUCCCCCCACUGCCACCUCUGGUAACAACAAAUCUUAUCUCUUUUUCUAUGAGGUUGUUUGUUGUUUUGUGUGUGUGUGUGUGUGUGUGCGUCUUUUUAGGGCCGCACCCGCAGCAUAUGGAGGGUCCAAGGCUAGGGGUCGAAUUGGAGCUACAGUUGCCAGCCUACGCCACAGCCAUAGCAAUGCCAGAACUGAGCCACAUCUGCGACCUACACCACAGCUCACGGCAAUGCCGGGUCCUUAACCCACUGAGUGAGGCCAGGGAUCAAACCCACAACCUCAUGGUUCCUAGUCUGAUUCGUUAACCACUGAGCCAUGAUAGGAAC